AGGGUUUGAUCCUGGCUCAGGAUGAACGCUAGCUACAGGCCUAACACAUGCAAGUCGAGGGGCAGCAUUGCUGAAGCUUGCUUCAGCAGAUGGCGACCGGCGCACGGGUGAGUAACGCGUAUCCAACCUGCCCUUUACUUGGGGAUAGCCUUUCGAAAGAAAGAUUAAUACCCGAUGGUUUCAGUAUUCCGCAUGGGAAACUGAAUAAAGAUUUAUUGGUAGAGGAUGGGGAUGCGUUCCAUUAGAUAGUAGGCGGGGUAACGGCCCACCUAGUCGACGAUGGAUAGGGGUUCUGAGAGGAAGGUCCCCCACAUUGGAACUGAGACACGGUCCAA
rnacentral:rRNA from 1 species